rnacentral:lncRNA from 1 species
CAGACAUGGCGCCAGGAGCCCCAGGUCAAUGUCACCGGAGAAAGGAGGCCGAUGCUCUGGAGUGGACAAGCAUUCUCACCGCCGGCGCUCCCGCUCCACCUCACUGCACAAACACAAGGGCCGGAGCAAGGCCAAGCCCUCAGCCCAGAAGGAGUCACCCCGAUCACCCAGCAACACAGGCUACAGUAGUGAUUCGGAGGGAUCAGCUUGCUCCCAUCCCUACCACAUGAUGCCAGGGGUGGAGAAGAACCAUGGGGCUCAUGCAAAAAAGGUGAAGGAGAGACACCAUCGUGGCAGGCCAAACAGCAGCUCAGAGUCACCUAUCAAGCAUUCCAGGCACAACUCAGAGAGAAAGAAGAGCGUGUCCCGGAGCACGGGCCACCGGAGCAGUUCCUGGAGCUCCAGCGGGUCCUUAUCCAAAUCCCGGUCCAGAUCCCGGGAGAAGAGAGCAGCACGGAGCAGGACUCGGUCUCCUUCACAGAAAAAAACUGCAAGCAGAGAGAAAGACAGUGAGCCCCGAAUACGCCACAGUGAUACUGAUCCCACCCGGCCCCGGCGCCGCUCCAGAAGUUAUUCCCCCAUCAGGAAGAGGAGACGUGACUCCCCCAGCUUCAUGGAGCCCAGAAGAAUUACAAGGUAGCUAUCAGAGUGCAGGGCUUCAGCCCUAGGCUCACAAGUUUUAGUCACUUACUGACAACUUGCAGGACCCUCAGAUUUCUUCUCCAAAGCCCUCUUUGCUUCUCUGCAAAGCCAGAUGUUGAUAGACAGAUAGAUAGCCAGACAGAUAGACAGGCAGACUGCUAACAGUAUUACCAGUUCAGCUCUUCCAAUCUGUAAAAGGAAAUAUGUAUUUAUUUGAGGUGUAUUUCUGUGUCAGAGGGGGGGAAAAGCCAACUGUCUUUCUCCCUCUGCUCUCCAAAUGAAAUCCUGGUGCACACAGUCAAUGUCCAUGAAGCCCCUUUAGGCUGAUCAGAAAGUAUUUGCAGGUUCAGGGUGACAAGACAAGUGAAAUACAGUUACACUAAAAUGGAAGCCACGUGGUAACCCUGUGGCAUGUGGACA